rnacentral:rRNA from 1 species
GCGUACUGCGGGCCAGCGGGCGGGGGAAUACGGAGGAGGCUAUGGUUGCGCGGAAUCACUGGGCGGAAAGGGGGCGUAGGCGGCUUUUUAAGUCGGGGGUGAAAGCCUGUGGCUCAACCACAGAAUUGCCUUCGAUACUGGAAAGCUUGAGACCGGAAGAGGACAGCGGAACUGCGAGUGUAGAGGUGAAAUUCGUAGAUAUUCGCAAGAACACCAGUGGCGAAGGCGGCUGUCUGGUCCGGUUCUGACGCUGAGGCGCGAAAGCGUGGGGAGCAAACAGGAUUAGAUACCCUAGUAGUC